CUAAACCUUUGUGAUUGUCCAACCUGCUGCCUUUGUUCACAGUUGCUCCCAAUAGUUAAGGGUAUGUCAAGACCUGUCGGUGUCCAAAAGGAAAGGACCACAGUCAGCACCUAUAUGCAGGCUGAUUAAAAGAUGGACUGCCGGGCAGCAGCUGAACGGUAGCCAAAAGUCAACAGCACUGCAGAAAACAGAGCACUAUUAAAAGCACCAUCACCGCUGGUCACCAAAAUGGUCAUUGAAAAUGGAGGAUGAGGGAAUCCCAAGACUCUAUCCCUCCCCCAAAAGCAAGUAAUGAUCUGGCAAAAACUAUCAGAAUCAACUUCUAAAAAAGUGGAAUACAGUCAAAAACUUAACAGCAACCAGGGGAAGGCCUGAUGAAGAAAGAAGCCGCUGCUUUGUGCCCUCGGAAGGAACCAACUCUGCUGACACCUUAAUCUUGGACCAACAGCUUCCAGAACGGUGGCGCAGUGGUUAAGAAUCCACCUGCCAAUGCAGGGGACAGGGGUUUGAUCCCUGGUCCAGGAAGACCCCACAUGCAGCGGAGCAGCUUAGCCUGUGUGCCACAACUAUUGAGCCUGCGCUCCAGAACCUGUGAGCCACAACUAUUGAGCCCACGUGCCAUAACUAUUGAAGCCCACGCACGUAGAGCCCAUGCUCUGCAACAAGAGAAGCCACGGCAAUGAGGAGUCCACGCACCACAACGAAGAGCAGCCCCCACUUGCCGCAACUAGAGAAAGCCCGUGUGCAGCAAUGAAGACCCAACGCA